AUCGCAUCUAUCAGCAAAGCUCGGAUAUCAUCAGCCUGAAAAACAGAAAGAACACCCAGCAUGAGGUCCUACUAUCUCAGAAAGCCCUAUUGAGAGACUCACAGCAUGAAGUGCUGGGUGGGAGAACUGAAGAAACUUUGUGAGGAAAAGGCAGAGCUUGUGAAACUUGCCAGCUAUGAACUUGUGAAACCAGUACUCAUCUCCUCUCUACAUCCCAUCACAGAGAUCUGAACAGACUGAUGACAGCUCAGAGAGAAGUGUGGGAUGCCAGGAAAGACCAGGAGAGAAGGAGCACAAGUCAAGAGGAGUCAAACUCAACAUCCACAACUCAGCAGAACUGACAAUACUGCCAGCUGGCAUAGGAGACACAGCAGGAGAAACCCUGAGUAAACUGCAGUGUGAGCAUAUAUCCACAGACACCUAAAGACUUUACAUCUGUGUCACCUUAAGGGCAUAUUUAGCUCUUAUCUUGUGAAUGAAUGAUUUUUUAAAAAGUAAA